AAAGGUAGACUUGACAUAUGUGGUUUUAUUUAAGGAAAAUUAAAAGGGCAGAAACUUUGAUAGGGGCAAAAUAAUAACGCUGCGGUAGUAUGAGAUAGCUGGGAAAGGUAGUUUUAAUAUCAUCGGUGUAUGACUUUAACAAUCAACUUUUUUGUGUGGCUGUAAGUAUACCGCACUUACCGCUAACCCAAGUUCCAAAGGAAUUAUUGUAAGACAUACGAGUGAUGCGACAUGCUUCAUAUUUGCUAAUUAUGACAAAUAAUCAUGUCUGUUUUUUAAAAGUAAAUAAUGGAAAACAUGGGUAGAAUAGCUACUUUCCAUUGUGUCAAGGCCAUGACCAUGGUACAGGUAAGCUUAGACAUAAUAUUAUUGCAUGCGUUAGAAGUUCAAUUCAGUAACAAAUGGGCUAGGCCCAGUGUUUUCGUACCCCUGUUCACUUAGGAAAGAGUUGCAGCUUUCAUCAAAGAAACCGAUGAUCUAAAAGUUGAGACAGACUGGAUGAGCUAGGCUGCUUUGUCAGGACGAAAAUGAACCUCCAAGGCUCCAACAGCCUCAUCACACACAAACUCCAGGAACCGGAAGCAGGGAGGAGGACCGACAGAUGAACGGAUGACCUGCUUGCAGGGCUUCCCAUUACUGAUUCUUAAGAGAAUUGAGGACCACUGACUGACGAGGGAAUUGGCCUACUGUGAUGGAUGAGCCUGCCUCACGACAUCGUAAGCUGGGAGGACCGACAGAUGACUGACUCUGCCUGUUCAGCAUGUCGUUACUUAUUCUUGAGAAGCUGAGGACCUCCAAGCUUGGAUGAGACUGGACAAUGACGAAGCAGCUCUAUCUGGACAAGGAUGCCCCCAUCGGAAACUUUUAAAAUUAACUUGUAGAAUAUUGAAUGAGAAAUCAGACUGUAUCUUUGCAAAAUCUGAAGUCAUUAAUAUUAUUCCAAAGAUAAAAAGAAUUGAUUUUUUUUAUUUCACUAAAUUAUUUAUGCCUCUAAAAUUAUCUUUAACCUGAUAUUACAAUAGAUAACUAACAGUGUACUUGAUAUAAACACGAUUUUUAACUUGCUGACAAACUAUUGUCAUGAUAUUUUUAUUGGCAUUUUAACAAUGCAUGUGUUAGGAAUCUGUCCUAAAUCCUCCACAAUUAUUACAUCAAUAAGAUAAUUUAAUACUUCUUACCUUUAAUGCAUUAAAUCGGAUCUUUUUGGUAAAUUAAGAGAGCUCUCACUCGGAGGCUGUCUUAUUUUUGUUCAGUUUUAAUGGAGAAUUUUGCUCUUUAAAUUUUAACUUGAUAUUGAUAGUGCAUUGUUAAAGUUGCCAUCAACUUAUGUUAUUAGAGUUGUAAACGAUUCAAAAAGUAUGAAUUCAUUGUUAAAAAAACUGGACAAAUUUGGCAAACUGAAGACGUCAGUUUACCUAUUACAAUUAUGUGGUUUUUUACUCAUACAAAACUCAGGAAUUUAAAACUUUUGGAAAAUUUAAAGAGUCAAUUGUUCAGGAACUGCUGUCCACCCAAAUGUUGGAAAAUUUUUAAAAGGUGAAUACCCCUCCCCCUCAGUUUUACAGAGGCACUUUCUU